rnacentral:rRNA from 1 species
AGUCAAUAGAUACCCAGGUAGUCCACGCCGUAAACGAUGAGUACUAGGUGUAGGAGGUAUCGACUCCUUCUGUGCCGCAGUUAACACAAUAAGUACUCCGCCUGGGAAGUACGGUCGCAAGAUUAAAACUACAAAGGAAUUGACGGGGGCCCGCACAAGCAGCGGAGCAUGUGGUUUAAUUCGAAGCAACGCGAAGAACCUUACCUAGACUUGACAUCUCCUGAAUAGCGCAGAGAUGCGUGAAGCCCCUUCGGGGCGAGGAAGACAGGUGGUGCAUGGUUGUCGUCAGCUCGUGUCGUGAGAUGUUGGGUUAAGUCCCGCAACGAGCGCAACCCCUAUUAUUAGUUGCUACCAUUAAGUUGAGCACUCUAAUGAGACUGCCCCGGGGUUAACCGGGAGGAAGGCGGGGAUGACGUCAAAUCAUCAUGCCCCUUAUGUCUAGGGCUACACACGUGCUACAAUGGUGAGAACAACGAGAUGCAAUACCGCGAGGUGGAGCAAAACUUGAAAACUCAUCUCAGUUCGGAUUG